rnacentral:rRNA from 1 species
AUUGAACGCUGGCGGCAGGCUUAACACAUGCAAGUCGAGCGUGGAAAGGUAGCUUGCUACCUGACCUAGCGGCGGACGGGUGAGUAAUGCUUAGGAAUCUGCCUAUUAGUGGGGGACAACAUCUCGAAAGGGAUGCUAAUACCGCAUACGUCCUACGGGAGAAAGCAGGGGACCUUCGGGCCUUGCGCUAAUAGAUGAGCCUAAGUCGGAUUAGCUAGUUGGUGGGGUAAAGGCCUACCAAGGCGACGAUCUGUAGCGGGUCUGAGAGGAUGAUCCGCCACACUGGGACUGAGACACGGCCCAGACUCCUACGGGAGGCAGCAGUGGGGAAUAUUGGACAAUGGGGGGAACCCUGAUCCAGCCAUGCCGCGUGUGUGAAGAAGGCCUUUUGGUUGUAAAGCACUUUAAGCGAGGAGGAGGCUACCGAGAUUAAUACUCUUGGAUAGUGGACGUUACUCGCAGAAUAAGCACCGGCUAACUCUGUG